UUCGUGCUAUGAUGUUUCGUUGGGGAGGGAAGCUGGAAUCAAGUAACAUUUUUUUUAAUUUUUAAUUCCAGUCAAAAUCUAAUCUCUUGUUUGUUUGUUUUUUAUAAACACGUACGGAUCCUAUUUCUUUUUAUUCCAGGUUCCUUUUGAUCAUAUAUAGCUCAAAAUGUUUGUUUAUAUCAAUACAUCUCCUCUCGUUGUCAAUAUAAUGGAAUUUGAU
rnacentral:lncRNA from 1 species